rnacentral:rRNA from 1 species
UGAGGAAUAUUGGUCAAUGGGCGAGAGCCUGAACCAGCCAAGUCGCGUGAAGGAAGAAGGUUCUAUGGAUUGUAAACUUCUUUUGUAAGGGAAUAAAAAAUGUUACGUGUAGCAUAUUGUAUGUACUUUACGAAUAAGGAUCGGCUAACUCCGUGCCAGCAGCCGCGGUAAUACGGAGGAUCCAAGCGUUAUCCGGAUUUAUUGGGUUUAAAGGGUGCGUAGGCGGAUCUUUAAGUCAGUGGUGAAAGUUUGCGGCUCAACCGUAAAAUUGCCGUUGAAACUGAAGAUCUUGAGUGUAAAUGAGGUAGGCGGAAUGUGUUGUGUAGCGGUGAAAUGCUUAGAUAUAACACAGAACACCAAUUGCGAAGGCAAUCCCCUGGGCCUGUACUGACGCUCAUGCACGAAAGCGUGGGGAGCAAACA